GAUGAAGAACGUAUCGAAAUGCGAUAAGUAAUGUGAAUUGCAGAAUUCAGUGAAUCAUCGAAUCUUUGAACGCACCUUGCGCCCUUUGGCCAUUCCGAAGGGCAUGCCUGUUUGAGUAUCAUGAACACCUCAACUCUUCAUGGUUUUCCGUGAUGAGCUUGGACUUUGGGGGUCUUGCUGGCCUAUGGUCAGCUCCUCUAAAAUAAAUCAGCUUGCCAGUGUUUGGUGGGUAUCACAGGUGUGAUAACUAUCUACGCUUGUGGUUUUCCACCAGGUAACCUUCAGCAGUGGAGGUUCGCUGGAGCUCACAGAUGUGUCUCUCCUCAGUGAGGACAGCUCUUUGAAUGUUUGAUCUCAAAUCAGGUAGGACUACCCGCUGAACUUAAGCAUAUCAAUAAGCGGAGGA
rnacentral:misc_RNA from 1 species